AAAGUCGAGUAGGCUGCCCGAUGGUAUCAUGUCUGUGCUCUUCACACUUCGUCCUGAAACACACAACAUCCUGACAUGAUUUCAGGUCAAACACACAACGUCCUGACAUGAUUUCAGGACGUCCCAGCUGCUGGUUGAACUGGAAACGGGACAAUUCAAACGUUAACACAGGAGGAAGUCUUGAAAACCAGAGCUGAAAAUAACAGCAAUAACAACAUCAAGGAUAAUAAUAAUAAUAACAACAAGACUUCAGCAGAAUUAAAUUUUAAGUCUCACACACAA